CCUACGGGUGGCAGCAGUGAGGAAUAUUGGUCAAUGGGCGCGAGCCUGAACCAGCCAAGUAGCGUGAAGGAUGACUGCCCUACGGGUUGUAAACUUCUUUUAUAAAGGAAUAAAGUGAGGCACGUGUGCCUUUUUGUAUGUACUUUAUGAAUAAGGAUCGGCUAACUCCGUGCCAGCAGCCGCGGUAAUACGGAGGAUCCGAGCGUUAUCCGGAUUUAUUGGGUUUAAAGGGAGCGUAGGUGGAUUGUUAAGUCAGUUGUGAAAGGUUGCGGCUCAACCGUGAAAUUGCAGUUGAAACUGGCAGUCUAGAGUACAGUAGAGGUGGGCGGAAUUCGUGGUGUAGCGGUGAAAUGCUUAGAUAUCACGAAGAACUCCGAUUGCGAAGGCAGCUCACUGGACUGCAACUGACACUGAUGCUCGAAAGUGUGGGGAUCAAACAGGAUUAGAUACCCGGGUAGUC
rnacentral:rRNA from 1 species